rnacentral:rRNA from 3 species
UACGGAGGGUGCAAGCGUUAAUCGGAAUCACUGGGCGUAAAGCGCACGUAGGCUGUUAUGUAAGUCAGGGGUGAAAUCCCACGGCUCAACCGUGGAACUGCCCUUGAUACUGCACGACUUGAAUCCGGGAGAGGGUGGCGGAAUUCCAGGUGUAGGAGUGAAAUCCGUAGAUAUCUGGAGGAACAUCAGUGGCGAAGGCGGCCACCUGGACCGGUAUUGACGCUGAGGUGCGAAAGCGUGGGGAGCAAACAGG